GAUGAUGGCUCAGGAUGAACGCUAGCUACAGGCUUAACACAUGCAAGUCGAGGGGCAGCGUGGUCUUAGCUUGCUAAGGCCGAUGGCGACCGGCGCACGGGUGAGUAACACGUAUCCAACCUGCCGUCUACUCUUGGACAGCCUUCUGAAAGGAAGAUUAAUACAAGAUGGCAUCAUGAGUCCGCAUGUUCACAUGAUUAAAGGUAUUCCGGUAGACGAUGGGGA
rnacentral:rRNA from 1 species